rnacentral:rRNA from 1 species
UACGUAGGGGGCAAGCGUUGUUCGGAAUUACUGGGCGUAAAGAGCGCGCAGGCGGCUGGUCAAGUCCGAUGUGAAAUCUCCCGGCUUAACUGGGAAACUGCAUCGGAAACUGAUCGGCUUGAAGGUGGGAGAGGGUAGUGGAAUUCCCGGUGUAGUGGUGAAAUGCGCAGAUAUCAGGAGGAACACCGGUGGCGAAGGCGGCAUCCUGGACCAACACUGACACUGAGGAGCGAAAGCCAGGGGAGCAAACGGG